rnacentral:rRNA from 1 species
AUUGAACGCUGGCGGCAUGCCUUACACAUGCAAGUCGAACGGUAACGGGCCUUCGGGUGCCGACGAGUGGCGCACGGGUGCGUAAUACAUCGGAACGUGCCCGAUCGUGGGGGGUAACGAGGCGAAAGCUUUGCUAAUACCGCAUACGAUCUACGGAUGAAAGCAGGGGACCGCAAGGCCUUGCGCGGACGGAGCGGCCGAUGGCAGAUUAGGUAGUUGGUGGGAUAAAAGCUUACCAAGCCGACGAUCUGUAGCUGGUCUGAGAGGAUGAUCAGCCACACUGGGACUGAGACACGGCCCAGACUCCUACGGGAGGCAGCAGUGGGGAAUUUUGGACAAUGGGCGCAAGCCUGAUCCAGCCAUGCCGCGUGCAGGAUGAAGGCCUUCGGGUUGUAAACUGCUUUUGUACGGAACGAAAAGCCUUCUUUUAAUACAGGAGGGUCAUGACGGUACCGGAAGAAUAAGCACCGGCUAACUACGUG